AACGAACGCUGGCGGCGCGCCUAACACAUGCAAGUCGAACGAGAAUCCGGGGCAACCCGGUAGUAAAGUGGCAAACGGGUGAGGAAUACAUGGGUAACCUACCCUUGAGAAGGGAAUAACCCGCCGAAAGGUGAGCUAAUACCCUAUACGCUAUCUUUUUUUCGAAAAGGAUAGGAAAGCCGGGUCGGAGGACCUGGUACUCAAGGAGGGGCUCAUGUCCUAUCAGCUUGUUGGUGGGGUAACGGCCUACCAAGGCUACGACGGGUAGCGUGGUCUGAGAGGAUGAUCAGCCACACUGGCACUGAGAUACGGGCCAGACUCCUACGGGAGGCAGCAGUGAGGAAUAUUGCGCAAUGGGCGAAAGCCUGACGCAGCGACGCCGCGUGGGGGAUGAAGGUUUUCGGACUGUAAACCCUUUCAUGAGGAAGAU
rnacentral:rRNA from 1 species